CGGGACGCCUCUCUACUAUUUCUCUCGUUCUACAGCCAUGUUACGACGAAGUGCCAAGAUAAAAACAUGCAGCGUGGACUUACACGUGAAUAAAUUCUAGGAGAACUAGAGAACCAUCAAGAGAGUGACGAUGAAGAUGACGACGUAGAACUGGCGAUUAUUCCACCCGAUGCAGAUGUAGUAACAGAUGAAGAAAACAUUGACGAAAAUGUACUGAACAAUGAGUCUGUUGUACAUGAUGUAGCCGGUACUUUAGAGCUCAUAACCAUCCGAGAUUAAGCUAAUGCUACAGUUGUACCUCCAGAAGCCAAAAGAAGGAAAGCGUUACGAGAUGGAGCAGAAAGUGCUAGAUACCAUCCUCACCGGCGUCUCACUGCUGGCAACGGAAACGCCCGUAGCUGUCGCGGAGGGAUCUGGGGGGUUCAGUGAUGUAUGCGUGCUGACCCACACCUUCAGCGGCUCCGACUACGAGCGCCCUCUGUCACCGCUAUA